ensembl:ncRNA lncRNA:CR45312 long non-coding RNA:CR45312
GCUCACAAGUUGAAUUCGUUGCGUCCUGUGUGUGUCCUGUUUUCCAGCAGCAGUCCGUUGCAGUGGCAGAUUAUAAGAAAAAUCGCUCAAGGAAACUCAACUAGCAGCAGCAGCAGCAGCAGCGAAGCGUCAGCAGAAACUUCGGCAGGAAAAGUCAGCCAGCGAGGAUUUCUCUUAAACAAAGUGACAAGAAAAGUGUGAAAAACUCUUGGAAAAUACGAACUGCUAAAGAAGACGCGUGACUGUGUUUGUGCACUGCAGAGCACUGAAAGACCUCACUAUUCACACUACUGGCGGCGCCACCUAGCGACCGCUAGACGCAACUACUUUUCAUAGUUUCGCUCAAAGUUGAGUAGUUAUUAUUUUCGCUGUCCUGGCCGCCAUUUAAUGAGAUGCUCUGUCAAAGUAAUUUGCAUAAUUUGUGAACCGUGUCGGCGGGUUUUUUUCAUGCUUUUUCUGGCCUUUCUCGCCUUUCCUCCUGCAAUUGUACAAUGCAUUAUUUAUUCGACUGUCCGCUCGACACCUUCAACACAAGCAAUUACACUGGCAAUUAUGAAAAAAAAAAAAAAAAAAAAAAAAUAACAACGACUGACCUUGCUGGACCGCAUGCAUUUAACGAACAAGGACAUGGAUACAAUGGCACAUUGUAAUAUAAUUCAUUUGCCAACACAAACAUUAGCAAAUGUACUUGCUGAAAAUAAUUAAAGUGACAUUUGACUGUUGUCGAUCGAGCUUGGUUAAUUACAAAAGGACAACACACACGGCUUGUAUAGAAAACACCAUGAAAAACCGAACCAAAACACAUUGAAUUCAAUUGAAAAGCAUUCAAUCAUUAAAAUGCAAAUUCCUGCUGACUACAACACCACGCCCCGCCGCCCAUUCGCUGUAAGUACAUAAAUUUGUGUUUAAAUUCAUUAAUGCCUCCGACUCGGCCUGUAUGGCAUUAAUUGAGCAUUUUAAUGGCGAAAUUACAACGCCUAACUGGCGCAUUAAUUAAAAUACAGGCGGUUC